rnacentral:rRNA from 1 species
GAUGAACGCUGGCGGCGUGCCUAAUACAUGCCAGUAGAACGCUGAAGGAGGAGCUUGCUCUUCUGGAUGAGUUGCGAACGGGUGAGUAACGCGUAGGUAACCUGCCUGGUAGCGGGGGAUAACUAUUGGAAACGAUAGCUAAUACCGCAUGACAACAGUUAUUGCAUGAUAACUGUUUAAAAGGGGCAACUGCUCCACUACCAGAUGGACCUGCGUUGUAUUAGCUAGUUGGUGAGGUAACGGCUCACCAAGGCGACGAUACAUAGCCGACCUGAGAGGGUGAUCGGCCACACUGGGACUGAGACACGGCCCAGACUCCUACGGGAGGCAGCAGGAGGGAAUCUUCGGCAAUGGACGGAAGGCUGACCGAGCAACGCCGGGUGAGUGAAGAAGGGUGUCGGAUCGGAAAGCUCUGUUGUAAGAGAAGAACGAGUGUGAGAGUGGAAAGUUCACACUGUGACGGUAUCUUAACAGAAAGGGACGGCUAACUACGUG